GCUAAUCAUAGGAUGAAAAUGGCUUCCAUCUGUAGCAACUCUUGUUUUGGAUUUCUUCUCUGGAUGCUUGAAAUGUUCCCCUUUUCUUUUCUUUUUUUUCACUCAUCAUCCCAGGGCCAAAGAUGGAAACCUUCUAAUCCUUUGUUGAAAUCUUCCUGGGGCCAUCAAGAGGUGAAGAGAAUCUGCAGAAAAUGCAAAGAGACAUUAGAUUUUGGGAAGCUUUGUUCCACAGUGUAUAUUUAACUUCAGAAGAAGAAAAAGUGAAAGAAUACGAGGCAGAGAGACAGAGAGACAGGCCGAGAGAAAAAUCAAUGAACAAGAAUAUUAAAAGGAGAGAAGCGGUGUCGAGCACGAAUGAAAUGUAAGUAAAAGGCAGCACCUGUGGC
rnacentral:lncRNA from 1 species